ensembl:snRNA U2 U2 spliceosomal RNA
AUUGCUUCUCAGCCUUUUGGCUAAGAUCAAGUGUAGUAUCUGUUCUUAUCAGUUUAAAAUAGCUGUGUAACAGGUUCUAGGCAUUGUGUCAAUACGUACCAAGACAGACUCUAC